UGGAUAUUGUGUACUAGGCAACUUUUAAGAAUGUCUGAAAGUGGCAGGCAUGGGAGGCAGAACUAACAGCACUGAAGAAGGUGACAAAGUGGGGAUGAUGUAGCCUUGACCCAACAUCCUGUGAACAACUAAAAGGCCUGCCUCGGCUGACUCCAGC